GAAACCAACCGGGAUUGCCUUAGUAACGGCGAGUGAAGCGGCAAAAGCUCAAAUUUGAAAUCUGGUACCUUCGGUGCCCGAGUUGUAAUUUGGAGAGGGCAACUUUGGGGCCGUUCCUUGUCUAUGUUCCUUGGAACAGGACGUCAUAGAGGGUGAGAAUCCCGUGUGGCGAGGAGUGCGGUUCUUUGUAAAGUGCCUUCGAAGAGUCGAGUUGUUUGGGAAUGCAGCUCUAAGUGGGUGGUAAAUUCCAUCUAAAGCUAAAUAUUGGCGAGAGACCGAUAGCGAACAAGUACAGUGAUGGAAAGAUGAAAAGAACUUUGAAAAGAGAGUGAAAAAGUACGUGAAAUUGUUGAAAGGGAAGGGCAUUUGAUCAGACAUGGUGUUUUGUGCCCUCUGCUCCUUGUGGGUAGGGGAAUCUCGCAUUUCACUGGGCCAGCAUCAGUUUUGGUGGCAGGAUAAAUCCAUAGGAAUGUAGCUUGCCUCGGUAAGUAUUAUAGCCUGUGGGAAUACUGCCAGCUGGGACUGAGGACUGCGACGUAAGUCAAGGAUGCUGGCAUAAUGGUUAUAUGCCGCCC
rnacentral:rRNA from 1 species